AUGGGGUGCGGUGGAGGAGGGGCUGGAUCUUCUACUCGAGGUUCUGCUUAAGAGAAGAAAAUUGUAAUAUAUUUUUUAGGGAUAUUCUUAUAACUAUAAAGAACCAACUUUUUAUUUUUUAGAUACCUGCAUAAGUACAAACAUUAGCUGGUAUCGUAUUUACCCUUUAAUUAACUAUGAUUUCUUUGAACAUAGAGUUUAUAGGAGUCAUUGGUAAUUACCAGUUAAGAAUGUUGAGCUCUUUUUUGUAAUUCGGGAAGAGAGCCUUUCAAAAAUCAGCAAUGAAUUUUAAAAAGCACGGGAUCCUCCUUCAGCUAAUGUCUCUUUAAUAUAAAAUUGCGAAAGGGAGAAAAGAUCCUGGUUCCAGUUCAAGAUGGAGACCUAAGAGGAUCCUGAACUCCCCUCCUCCGCGAAAGCAUGAAAUCCACAGCUACCUGAGGAACAACUUCCUCUGAAAACAAAACAAAGCAAAACCAGAAACAAAAUCAAAACCCGAAACAUCGUCUGAGAGACUCCUACUUGUCAGGACUUUUUCCCACGCUAGGUCUUUCGGUGGAGCGCAUCUGUCUCGGCCAACUGACACUUCAAGCACCUGGAGCUGAAACCAGAAGCAGAAACCAGGACGAGCCGGGCGACCAAAGAGAACAAAGGUCCACGAUCCACAAUUCUGAGAAGCCGUGGUUCGCAGAACUGUUCAAUGCACCCUAAGAACCCAGGCUGAGAACCCCGCUGUGAGGACUCUCUGCCCUGCCAGCCAGCCCGGGGCGGGGGAAGGGUGCUAGCCUCCAGAGUGAAAGGAGGAAGUGAGGAGAGUACAAAAUGUUGACGAAUAACCCUGUCGCACAUGCUUUCUCUUAUUCCAAAAAAUGGUAUCCCG
rnacentral:lncRNA from 1 species